rnacentral:tRNA from 1 species
GCGAGAGUGGCGAAAUUGGCAUACGCGCUAGAUUUAGGAUCUAGUGCCUCCGGGCUUGGGGGUUCGAGUCCCCCCUCUCGCA